UUGUCCGUCCCGAUCUCUGCCUGUCUGCUGUGGCCCACCAGGUUGCACCUGUGGGCACGGAGCACUCUGGAAGCCUCACCCAAAGAAGUGAGCAGGGCUGCAGUGGGCUUGUGCCAGGGGCGCUUCAGGAAACAC
rfam:Canis lupus familiaris chromosome 7, whole genome shotgun sequence.